GCCCAGUGAAGGAGGGGGGGCGGCUACUGGCGAGGACCUGACCGGCUGGUAGGACAACUGCGUCAGCGUGGAGCCGUGACGGUCGCCCUAGGUGAGAGGUCGAGAGCUCGCGCAGAAGCGGUGUGGCUCUUCCCAAAGGAACGGUCGGUGUAGCACUUCUCAGUCACCGUGCUGCGCUUCUUGCCUCGCGGGGUGCAGAGCUGGAGUUCACAAACUGUACCAAUCAUCCUGGGAUUUUUGUCAACAAACAACGUACAAGAAGGCACAGUUUCUGUCAUUUCACUCAUAGUGCAGAUAGCAUGCAUAUAACAGACCAAAUGACCGGCCGUAAGAGCAGCAGGGUGUGUCGGUGUGUUUUAAAAGGUUUUCUUCUUUCUUUGUUAACUUCUUGGUGGAGGCUGAGUGCGAAGGCCGAGCUCUGAAUCACUCCAAGCAGGAAGGGGAGGGUGGCAGAGGAAUGGAAGGCUGAAUCAGCUGUAAGAACUAUGACUCAAUAGCAAGCAACAUUAUGCCAGCAGGUAUAACAAGGUGAAAGAGGUGUCAGCAAGUGCAACGAGAAAGGAGAAACAAAAUGGCUUAAGUUAGUAUGUACUUUUAAGUAGAAUUGACCAAAAAUAAAAAAACCUUGAGCAAAUAAAGGCAUCUGAAAGCAAAAAGGAGAA